rnacentral:rRNA from 1 species
UACGGAGGGUGCAAGCGUUACUCGGAAUCACUGAGCGUAAAGGGCGCGUAGGCGGCCUAGCAAGUCUGGUGUGAAAACCCAGGGCUCAACCCUGGAAGGGCACUGGAAACUGUUAGGCUUGAGUUCCGGAGAGGAGGGGGGAAUUCCCGGUGUAGCGGUGAAAUGCGUAGAUAUCGGGAGGAAUACCGGUGGCGAAGGCGCCCCUCUGGACGGAAACUGACGCUGAGGAGCGAAAGCGUGGGGAGCAAACAGG